UACGAAGGGGGCUAGCGUUGCUCGGAAUUACUGGGCGUAAAGCGUGCGUAGGCGGUUUGUUAAGUCCGUUGUGAAAGCCCUGGGCUCAACCUGGGAAUUGCAGUGGAUACUGGCGAGCUAGAGUGCGGUAGAGGAUGGUGGAAUUCCCGGUGUAGCGGUGAAAUGCGUAGAGAUGCGGAGGAACACCGAUGGCGAAGGCAGCCCCCUGGGCUAGCACUGACGCUCAGGCACGAAAGCGUGGGGAGCAAACAGG
rnacentral:rRNA from 1 species